rnacentral:rRNA from 1 species
AGCAGCCGCGGUAAUUCCAGCUCCAAUAGCGUAUAUUAAAGUUGUUGCAGUUAAAAAGCUCGUAGUUGAAUUUCGGGAUCAAAUUGUCGGUCGUGCCUCGGUACGUACUGGCGUUAUUGGUUCCUACCUUCUGAAGAACCACGAUGUCAUUAAUUUGGUGUCGCGGGGAAUCAGGACUGUUACUUUGAAAAAAUUAGAGUGUUUAAAGCAGGCUCGCGCUUGAAUACAUUAGCAUGGAAUAAUGAAAUAGGACGUUUGAUUCUAUUUUGUUGGUUUCUAGGAUCGACGUAAUGAUUAAUAGGGAUAGUUGGGGGCAUUAGUAUUCAAUUGUCAGAGGCGAAAUUCUUGGAUUUAUUGAAGACUAACUACUGCGAAAGCAUUUGCCAAGGAUGUUUUCAUUAAUCAAGAACGAAGUUAGGGAUCGAAGACGAUCAGAUACCGUCGUAGUCUUAACCAUAAACUAUGCCGACUAGGGAUCGGAUGAUGUUUAAUUUUUAUGUACUUCAGUUCGGCGUCCGUU